rnacentral:rRNA from 1 species
AGCUUCGUUGCCCGCCGCCCCCGAAAUGAAUUGGCGGUCUCGUCGCGGCCUCCUCUGCGUAGUAGCACAACCUCGCAACAGGAGCGCGGCGCGGCCACUGCCGUAAAACGCCCAACUUUUUCUUAGAGUUGACCUCGAAUCAGGUAGGAAU